rnacentral:rRNA from 1 species
UACGUAGGGCGCAAGCGUUAUCCGGAAUUAUUGGGCGUAAAGAGCUCGUAGGCGGUUUGUCGCGUCUGCCGUGAAAGUCCGGGGCUCAACUCCGGAUCUGCGGUGGGUACGGGCAGACUAGAGUGAUGUAGGGGAGACUGGAAUUCCUGGUGUAGCGGUGAAAUGCGCAGAUAUCAGGAGGAACACCGAUGGCGAAGGCAGGUCUCUGGGCAUUAACUGACGCUGAGGAGCGAAAGCAUGGGGGAGCGA